rnacentral:rRNA from 1 species
AGAGUUUGAUCCUGGCUCAGGACGAACGCUGGCGGCCUGUUUAACACAUGCAAGUCACGGGGGCCCGCAAGGGCAACCGGCGAACGGGUGCGUAACACGUGAGCAACCUACCUCGAUGUGGGGGAUAGCCGGCCCAACGGCCGGGUAAUACCGCAUACGAUCUUUGGGGGGAGUCCCCUGAAGAGGAAACCUCCGGGGCAUUGAGAGGGGCUCGCGGCCUAUCAGCUAGUUGGCGAGGUAAUGGCUCACCAAGGCGACGACGGGUAGCUGGUCUGAGAGGAUGGCCAGCCACAUUGGGACUGAGAGACGGCCCAGACUCCUACGGGAGGCAGCAGUGGGGAAUCUUGCGCAAUGGCCGAAAGGCUGACGCAGCGACGCCGCGUGUGGGAUGAAGCAUUUCGGUGUGUAAACCACUGUUGCCCGGGACGAACAGCUUCUUUCGAGGAGCCUGACGGUACCGGGUGAGGAAGCACCGGCUAACUCCGUGCCAGCAGCCGCGGUAAUACGGAGGGUGCGAGCGUUGUCCGGAAUCACUGGGCGUAAAGGGCGCGUAGGCGGCGCGGGUAGUCAACGGUGAAAGCUUGGGGCUCAACCCCGAGUCGGCCGUCGAUACUCCCGCGCUCGAGCACUGUAGAGGCAGGUGGAAUUCCGGGUGUAGCGGUGGAAUGCGUAAAGAUCCGGAAGAACACCCGUGGGCAAGGCGGCCUGCUGGGCAUUAUCUGACCCUUAGGCGCGACAGCGUGGGGAGCAAACAGGAUUAAAUCCCUGGUAAUCUCACCCGUAAACGAUGGGCACUAGGUGCUUGGGGGAGCGACCCCCUGAGUGCCGGCGCUAACGCAUUAAGUGCCCCGCCUGGGGAGUACGGCCGCAAGGCUGAAACUCAAAGGAAUGACGAAGGCGAAUCGUACCCGCCCC